ACGGAAGGCAGCAGUGGGGAAUAUUGCACAAUGGGGGAAACCCUGAUGCAGCGACGCCGCGUGAGUGAAGAAGUAUUUCGGUAUGUAAAGCUCUAUCAGCAGGAAAGAAAAUGACGGUACCUGACUAAGAAGCCCCGGCUAACUACGUGCCAGCAGCCGCGGUAAUACGUAGGGGGCAAGCGUUAUCCGGAUUUACUGGGUGUAAAGGGAGCGUAGACGGCUUUGCAAGUCUGAAGUGAAAGCCCGGGGCUCAACCCCGGAACUGCUUUGGAAACUGUUAAGCUAGAGUGCAGAAGAGGUAAGUGGAAUUCCUAGUGUAGCGGUGAAAUGCGUAGAUAUUAGGAGGAACACCAGUGGCGAAGGCGGCUUACUGGACUGUAACUGACGUUGAGGCUCGAAGGCGUGGGGAGCAAACAGGAUUAGAUACCCUGGUA
rnacentral:rRNA from 1 species